AUGCCUAGUUACUUGAAAGAACCCUCAAUUAGUGUGGCGAUGAUACUGGAACUUCCAUGAAAAAGGCUUAGUGAGUUACGCUUGGUUUCUAUUGAGAUCGCCGGAUUUUUUUUCUAAAGGAAAUAGAGUUAUCAUAUUCAAAGUCACAAUCUCAGGUUGGAGAGGCAAAGUUGUAUAUGUGGAUGCGGAUAUUGAUGGAAUACGUGCAGAGUGUUUGAGAUAUUGGGCAUUGUUUGUUUUUAAGUGACUAUUUUAGAUGUUGAAGUAU
rnacentral:lncRNA from 1 species